rnacentral:rRNA from 1 species
UAAAUAAAGCAAAUGGUGGAUGCCUUGGCGGCUGAAGCCGAAGAAGGACGCAGAAGACAGCGAAAUUCGCCGGGGAGUUGUCAACAAACGUUGAUCCGGUGGUGUCCGAAUGAGGAAACUCCGGUUAUAGAAAUAUAACUGAUCCGGUGCUUCACUAAGAAUUUAUCGUUUUCAAAACAUCGUUACCGUUUUUUCAAAAUAGUGAAUACUAGCGUGUUCAAAUAUUUUGAAAAAAGAUAACUUCAAUUUUGAAAACUGAGUUUUUGGUGAAGCAUCGGAAGGGAAUUCGGGGAAGUGAAACAUCUCAGUACCCGGAAGAAAAGAAAUCGUAUGAGAUUCCGUAAGUAGCGGUGAGCGAAAUCGGAACAGUCUAAACCUGCACGCAAGUGUAGGGGUUGCAGGGUUUUGUAUAAUAUUUUGAAAGAAAAGGAAAAGUUUCUGGAAUGGAACACCAAAGAGGGUGAAAGUCCUGUAUCUGAAUUUCAAGUAAAAAUAGGCAGAAUACCUAAGUACCUCGAUCCACGUGAAAUGUCGAGGGAAUCUGGGGCGACCAAGCUCCAAGACUAAAUACUUCAGCAGACCGAUAGUGAACAAGUACCGUGAGGGAAAGGUGAAAAACACUCCAAGUAGGGGAAUGAAAUAGAUCUGAAACCAUUUGCUAACAAACAGACAGAGCCAUCCUUCGCUUUUUGCUCCGCAACAAGCUUCGGAUUGGUAAACUUGUUAUUUAUAAUAAUGAGCUUGCCAGUCCGUAGCUUCUACGAAGUAAGAAGCGGAGGAUGGUGAUGUCGUGCCUAUUGAAGAAUGAGCCUGCGAGUAUUUCUGUUCUACCAAGUUUAAGCCCUCUGGGGCGAAGGCGUAGCGAAAGCGAGUGCGAAUAGCGCGAUUAGGUAGACGGAGAUGACCCGAAGCCACUUGAGCUAACCAUGGUCAGGGUGAACUCUGAUGAUAAAUCAGAGGGAGGCCCGUACGGAUCAGAGCUGCAAAUCUGUCCGAUGAACUGUGGUUAGGGGUAAUAUGCCAAUCGAAAGUGGGAAUAGCUGGCUCUCUCCGAAAUAUAUAUAGGUAUAGCGUCUAGUGUUUCUCCAUGGGGGUAGAGCUACUGGAUGAGUGUUUUGAGCGCAAGCUCAGGCAUUUAACCAAACUCCGAAUACCGUGGAAUUAAGCUAGGCAGUCAGUCCGACCGGGCUAAGCUGGCCGGGCAAGAGGGGAAGACCCCAGACUAUCAUCUAAGGUCUCUAAGUUUAUGUUAAGUGGGAAAGGCGGUGGUUUACCUAAGACAGACAGGAGGUUGGCUCAGAAGCAGCCAUCCUUUAAAGAAAGCGUAAUAGCUCACUGUUCGACCUGAAGCAAUUCGGGUCGGUAAGCUGCACCUAAAAUGUAAGGAGGCUAAAACAUAACACCGAAGUUGUAGGAUUCAGUGGACAAUACUGGUAACUUAUAGUAUAAUGUAUAUCAUGAAAGUAAAUAUUCUUGGAAAAGAUUUUAAGGUUUUUGAGAAAGCACAGCCUGUAGAUAGAAGAUCGCAGCUAGAGCAAGCUCAACCGUAUCAAUUAGUUGAGUCUUUAGCCUUUAGACAGGUAAUUAAUGCUGACUUGGUUCCAAGAACUGGUAGUGGUUUAUUUAAUGCUCGUAAUGAUAAAGCGGCAGAAAUAAAUAGAACUACUCUAAGCAUGAAUUUUGAAAAUGAAGAACAAUUGAAAAGUUGGUUGAUUGAUGAAUUAAUUAAGGAAGAAUCAAAGUAAUUAUAAGUUUCGAGUAUUGUCCAUUGGAUCAGUAGGAGAGCGUUGUGGGAGCGGUGAAGGUGGGCCGUAAGGCUAGCUGGAGCGACCACAAGUGAGAAUGCAGGCAUGAGUAACGAAAUGGCAGUGAGAAUCUGCCACGUCGAAAUAUCCAAGGUUUCCUCGGCUACGUUGUUCGUCCGAGGGUUAGGCGAUCCUAACACGAGGCCCCGAUCAUAAGGGGGCGUAGUGGAUGGAUAACCGGUUAAUAUUCCGGUCCUUUCUUGUAUUCGUUUUAAGUUGGGGUGAGACGAUGUGUGGGAGGUGGAGAGUCUAAGCGAUUGGGCUUUCAAGUGUCUAGCUAGAAGGGGUUGGAAAAUCCGCCUUUUCGUUUUAACGUGAAGCACGAAUAAGAGUUUUUCGAAAGAAGAGCAAUUCUAUUGAACCCAUGUAUCCGAGAAAAGCAUCGCAACUAGAAUACAGGAAAUUCGUACCAAAACCGACACUGGUGGAUAAGUCGAGAAGACUAAGACGAUUGGAAGACAGAUGCUUAAGGAACUUGGCAAAUUAUCUGGGUGUAAGCUUUGCGAGAUACCCUGCCCGCCCUAACAAGCGGGUUACAACAAAAGAAUGCAUGGCGACUGUUUACCACAAACACAGGUCUCUGCUAACCCGUAAGGGGAUGUAUAGGGGCUGAAACCUGACCGGUGCCAGAAGGUUAAAAUGGCGAGUCAAACCCGCAAGGGGGCGGCUUGUUGUAUAAGCCCUGGUGAACGUCAGCAGUAACUCUAACUGUUCUAAGGUAGCGAAGUCCUUUGUCGUGUAAGUUACGACACGUAUGAAAGGUUUAACGACUGUGCAACUGUCUUAAGCAUCUAUCCAGUGAAAUUGAAAGAGCGGUGAAGAUGCCGUUUAAUUACAACAGGACAAAAAGACCCCAUGAAGCUUUACUGGAUCUUUACAUUGAUAAGAAACUGGUGAUUGUCGAGUGUAGGAGGGAGUCCCGACGCAAGUCGUGGACGACAAUGGAACACCUCCCUUUGCUAAUUUUGAGUCUUACCUACCUGUCUGAAUCGACAGGGGGAACCGUGUAUGGUUGCUAGUUUGCCUGGGGCAGGCACCUGCAAAAAAGUAACGCGGGUACACAAAGGUCAACUUGGUCCGGCAGGAAAUCGGACUGUAAGCGCAAAAGCAUAAGUUGGCUUGACUGUGAGACAUACUAGUCGAAUCCCUCGUAAGAGGGAGUUCCAAACAAUUUGAUAUUGGAAUCAGGGUCGAAAGACGGUUUUAGUGAUCCUCGUGACCCAUUUGGUAUGGGCACGGGCUUACUGGAUAAAAGCUACUCUGGGGAUAACAGGCUAGUCGCAUCCGAUAGUUCAUAUUGACGAUGCGGUUCGGCACCUUAGCCAUAAAGGCUUAUCGGGGUGGGCGGAAGUAAUUCCGUUAGUUUGUAUAUCAUAAGGUCUUUUUGAAAAUUUUUUAUUAAUUUUUGAAUUUAAAAAUUUAAAUACUAGCUCAUAACGGUGAACGCCUUAAUUGACAUUCGGGUAACCUUCGGAUUAUUAUUAAUGAUCAAUGGCCAAUACCGCGGGAAGUCUAACAAAUGUGCAAGAAUCUAUUCUUAUUGGAACUCUCUUAGGAGACGGAACAAUGAGAAAGAAAAUAAAUGCAUAUCUAGAGAUAAACCACGCUUAUUCGCAAAAAGCAUUAGUGGACUGGAUUUAUUCUAAAUUUAAAAAUUUGGUAAUAACUCCGCCAAAAUGGAGAAAGGGAAACGGAAAUAGAGAAGCAUAUCGCUUUUUUACUCGAAGUUUACCCCAACUUACUCCAUACUAUAAUGAAUUUUUUAUUAACGGGAAGAAAAUAAUUCCUAAUGAUUUAAAAUUAGAUGCUUUAAGUUUGGCAGUUUGGUUUAUGGAUGAUGGGUCUAAAAGCCGAUCAGCCAUCUAUCUAAACACUCAACAGUUUUCAAUUGAUGAACAAAACAGAUUGAUUUAUACUUUAAAAGAUCAGUUUGGAUUAAAUUCAACUUUAAAUAAAGAUAAAAUUUAUUUUCGAAUUCGUGUGAGAAGCGAAAGCUCUAAAAAGAUGGUUAAAACUAUUGAAAAAUAUGUUUUACCUGAAUUUAGGUAUAAAUUGCCUUUGUUAUGACCCUGUAACGACUGAAUCGAAAGAUGAGAUUCAUCAAUUUAUUGGUGGAUAAUACGCUAGCUCCUACUCUGUUUUAUUAGGGAUAAUAAAAAGACAAGAGGAUGAAGGGAUAGUCUAAGACCACAAGAAACUGUGGAAUCGACAUGCGAUGUCGACUUGGCGCAUCCUGGCCCUGAAGAAGGGGCCAAGGGUUGGUCUGUUCGCCCAUUAAAGCGCUGCGUUAGUUGGGUUCAGAGCGUCGCGAGACAGCUCGGUCUCUAUCCGUUGUAAUCGUUCGAUUUUUGAGGGAAUUCAUCUACAGUACGAGAGGACCUAGAUGAGGAAACCGCUGGUGUGCCAGUUGUCCUGUCAAGGGCAAUGCUGGGUAGCUACGUUUCUAUAAGAUAACUGCUGAAAGCAUCUCAAGCAGGAAGCUGACCCCGAGAUAAGAAAUCGUUGUCCCGAAAGGGAUGAAAAAUCGCCGGGAGACUACCGGUUAAUACUUUGGCGGUGUAAGGCCAGUAAUGGCUUCAGCCUACCAA